CCUACGGGAGGCAGCAGUGGGGAAUAUUGGUCAAUGGUCGGGAGACUGAACCAGCCAAGCCGCGUGAGGGAUGAAGGUACAGAGUAUCGUAAACCUCUUUUGUCAGGGAACAAAGGCGGGGACGCGUCCCCGGAUGAGUGUACCUGAAGAAAAAGCAUCGGCUAACUCCGUGCCAGCAGCCGCGGUAAUACGGAGGAUGCGAGCGUUAUCCGGAUUUAUUGGGUUUAAGGGGUGCGCAGGCGGUCUGUUAAGUCAGCGGUAAAAGCCCGGGGCUCAACCCCGGCCCGCCGUUGAAACUGGCAGUCUCGAGUUGGAGAGAAGUACGCGGAAUGCGCGGUGUAGCGGUGAAAUGCAUAGAUAUCGCGCAGAACUCCGAUUGCGAAGGCAGCAUGCCGGCUCCACACUGACGCUGAGGCACGAAAGCGUGGGUAUCGAACAGGAUUAGAUACCCGAGUAGUC
rnacentral:rRNA from 1 species